rnacentral:lncRNA from 1 species
CUUAAUAUUUUUAUUUUGGCAAGCAUAGAACUUUACUACUUACUAAAGAUGAAAUUUGAGAUCUUGUGCCCUCUUUGGGUGUGCAGAUAUAUCUGGUGUGCAGAUAUACAUGGAAGCAGAAUGUUGUAUACAUAAUAAAUAAAUAAAAUCUUUGGGCUGGAGAGAUGGCUCAGCCGUUAAAGGCUAGGCUCACAACCAAAACAAAGUUGUUUGUAAGAGCAGACUCAAUCUUAUUUAAUGCAUAUGUUUGCAUGCAGGGACACCAGAACAAGAUCUUAUGUGUCAGAGAAGCAGAAAUUCACGAAGAAAAGUGAUCUGCCAUCAAACCAACAUGCUCAGUGUUACUGUCGACUUUCCUGUGCUUCAGCUUGGGUGUACAGAAAAGGUUCUCUGCUUUGACUCUGCCAGAAGCAGCUGCAAGUGUCUGGAGUGACCCAUAGGGCAGUGGUGUGUUCACAAUGUGUAUGGGAGGAAAGCAGAGAUAAAAUGCUCUCGGAGGAAUUAGAAAGUAUAAUGGAUUAAUUCUGUUCCACCUGAACUCCUCUCCUUCCCAGCAUCCAUAUCAUCAGGUGAAGAGCCAGGAAUGAAGAAGGCAAGUAUAAGCAUUCAUGAAUAACAUCAUUGACUUCAUUUGAAACAGGCAAAAGAUCUGCUUCCAAAGCUGGAGAAAGGGUAAAGAGAUACAGGAAGCAUCUGUGGCCACAUACAUUAAAGAUUUAGAAAUUUUGAAUAAGUUGCUGACAAAGAUUUGGAGUAAGAAUUUUGCCAAUAGAAAAAUGAUUUGCCAUAAAACAUGCAGAAAAUUAGAAGGAAAAAAUGAAAAAUCCACGAAGGAUUUCCUUUAUUGUUCAAAAUGAUUAGCACACACAUCUUAACAAUUUCUUUCUCCUCAAAUAUAAGAGAAAUAUGUUAAUCUUUAAAAAUAGAACUGUGAAGCAUUGAGUUCCUUUUAUUUGGGAUUUUUCUCUCUAGGAGAAAUCUGUCUAGAAGCAAACCAAUGUGUUCUUGGAUUUUCUCUAUUGAUAAAAACAAUUCUGAUUUCUAGGUGAAUAAAAAGCAAAGCUUUUCAAACA